rnacentral:rRNA from 1 species
CAGGCUGAAACUCGCCUGCACGAAGUUGGAAUUGCUAGUAAUCGCGGAUCAGCAUGCCGCGGUGAAUACGUUCCCGGGUCUUGUACACACCGCCCGUCACACCAUGGGAGCUGGUAACACCCGAAGUCAGUAGUCUAACCGCAAGGAGGACGCUGCCGAAGGUGGGAUUAGCGACUGGGGUGAAGUCGUAACAAGGUAAC